rnacentral:rRNA from 1 species
UACGUAGGGACCAAGCGUUGUUCGGAUUUACUGGGCGUAAAGGGCGCGUAGGCGGCGUGACAAGUCACUUGUGAAAUCUCCGGGCUUAACUCGGAACGGCCAAGUGAUACUGUCGUGCUAGAGUGCGGAAGGGGCUACUGGAAUUCUCGGUGUAGCGGUGAAAUGCGUAGAUAUCGAGAGGAACACCUGCGGCGAAGGCGGGUAGCUGGGCCGACACUGACGCUGAGGCGCGAAAGCCAGGGGAGCGAACGGG